UCUUGUUCGUUUCAUUUGGAAUUCAUUGUGGUGGUGUAUAGACCCAAAAAUGUUAGAAUUGUGUCGAUGUCCCAAUAUUUAUGGACCUGACUGUAGAUCAGGGGUAGGCAACUUCAGGCCUCGAUUGCCGGCGAUCUGCAGGUUUUAAGAUCUCACCCUGGGUCAACAUAUCUGAAUCAAAUGAUUAGUUCAUUACCAGGCCUCUGGACAACUUCAAGACAUUUUGAGGAGGUAAUUAGGUCAUUUGAAUCAGCUGUGUUGGAUCAAGGAAACAUCUAAAACCUGCAGGACACUGGCACUUGAGGCCUGGAGUUGCCUACCCCCGAUUUAGAUAAUAUUUCAGGCUCUCUAAACCUACAGUUAGUGGAGCUUUGUAGCCAGAUCUCUAAGAAACAAUUGUACCUUUCUUAGCAAUGAUGCAUGCUUAAAUCAUAGAAGCUUUGUAAUGCUGUGCAACAGAUUAAUGGGACAGUAGUGCAGAGGAUUCAGAGCUUGUCUUAGAGUCCUUGGGUAUAAAAUAUUUCUUCAUCAAUAUUUCUUCUCAAGAAAUCCAGUGACACAGCAAACGAUAACUCUUGAUUGUUCCAAACUUUAUUUUUCAAGUUGUAAACAAAUACAGUUUUAAAAAAGUGUUCUUCUUUGUCACUAUCACAUUCUUCUUUCAAUACCAAAAAAUGAAAAAGGAGUCAAUGAUUAAAUGAAUUUAAAAAAAUAUGAUUAUUAUAACUCUAUCAUCCAAUUUGAAUAAUAUUAUAAUUCUUUUCUGUUUUUCUUUUUUGUUUGUUUGUUUUUUUUUCCUCUGGUAAACUAAUCGUUCCCUUUCAGUCGAUUCACUCGGUACAACACAUAAGUAUGGGAUAUUAUGUCCUCCCGUGUCCUGGCUGAAGAAACCUUUAAUCACGCCUUUAAGGCAGAUGACCUGUGAUAACAUGCACACAUCCCCGCCUGCAGAUAUAACCGCUGUCAUCACAGACAUCCCUCAGUUCUUACGCUCGUCCCCUCGCUGAGAACACCUCUACUGAGUUGGACUAGCUAGCUGCUGCUAGUUAGCUCCUUUGUCUGCCGACUUGAACUUAGCCCUGUUGGUGUUAGCCUCCAACGCGCAGUUGGUACGUGAGCAAAGCAGAAAUCUUCUGUUCGCCCCUGUCCUCAGGGGUGUGGUUUCUCUUUCCAUGACAGUGACCAGCACGAUGACUGCCCUGUCUGCCUGGGGAUCAUCCACCCUAGGAGAGUAUUGACGGAGCCUGAAGCCUGUGCAUUUUGUCGCCAGCUCUGGUGCUCGUCCCUGGAAAGAUGGGUGACUUUUAUGGAAAAAGUGCUGGGACAGACGGCUGUCACAUGGCAUGACCCUCUCCUUUCCGAGUCUGGAAGCCCCGGCUCCGAAUCCGAAGACAAGGAUUAUCCGGUCGACGUCCCCCGCAAUUCGCUGGGCUGACUACAUGAAAUGUGUUGAUGGGUUAGCCAAAGACAAGCCGGAACCAUGCCUGGGUUGAAGCCCACCAGCACUCCCCAGGAAGACGAUGUCGUGCUGGACAUUGGCAUGGACAUCCAUGGUUUGGCAGAGGAUGAGCAGCAGAGCUCAGUGUCAGCCCAGUGUGCCGCCGCUGUUGCGCUGGUUGCCCAUGAUGACAUCUCUUUUUUCCCCCCUGUUUCGUCGUGCUUCUGAGAAGGUGCAGGCGGACUGGCCCUCUCCUCCGCCCGCUCAGAAGCUGUUGUGGUUCAUGGGCUUUUUUCUCCCCCUAGAUCCCACAACGACCAAAAACCGCCUUUCCAUGUUCCCAGGCCUUAUCUGUGAGCUAACAGCAUUAGAGAUGGACCGAUCCGAUAUUACGUAUCGGUAUCGGGUCACGUGCGUCACUGCGUCACGUGAUAGAGCGGCUGUGUGUAUUUGGAGCCUCGCUACCAAACCAGCAUUUCAUCUCCGAGGAAGUUCUCCCAGAGAGAAGUAAAGCAAGUGUGGCUCACUAUCCAGGUACCACCACAAUAACAGAGGCCCUGAAGACACAGAAGAAGCUGUGGUCGUCAGAGGACUACAGCACCUUUAACAAUGAGGUGGGAGGAGGCUGUUGGGCUCGGAUCCUCAACCAGAACUAUGUCAAUGGACAAAUGACUGCCACCAUCUCCUGGAAUCUGGUGGCCAGUUAUUAUGAGGAUCUCCCAUUCGGCAGGGACGGGCUCAUGACAGCUGAGGAGCCCUGGAGUGGCAACUAUGUGGUCGAGUCUCCAAUUUGGAUCACGGCUCACACCACACAGUUUACCCAGCCAGGAUGGACCUACCUGCAGACUGUUGGACAUCUGGCACAAGGUGGAAGCUAUAUUGCCUUGACUGAUGGGAAGGAAAUCUCACUGUUGUCAUAGAAACGAUGACUCACAAUCAUUCAGUGUGCAUAAGACCUCCACUACCUCCCUUUAAUGUAACAUCCCAAAAUGCAACUUUCCAGCUAAAGGGGUCUUUUGCAUCCAUUAAAGAGCUCCAAGUGUGGCGGUCACAGUUUGACUUUAAGACGAGCAAGGCUUCCUUUUUGAGAAACUAAAACCACUGAAGCUUGUAGAUGGCUCGCUUACCCUGAAUCUGGCUGAAGACG
ensembl:lncRNA